rnacentral:RNase_P_RNA from 1 species
GGUGCAAGUCGGGCAGUUGCGUGGUUGUAUAAAACAGUAACGAGGAAAGUCCGAACUCCAUAGAACAGGAUGCCGGGUAACUCCCGGGAGUUGUUUUGAGUAAUCUAACAAUUACGGAUAGUGCCACAGAAAAUAUACCGUCCCAGGUUUUGGGAUAAGGGUGAAAAGGCAGGGUAAGAGCCUACCGCCUCAUAAGUAAUUAUGAGGGUCGAUAAGACUAAUCACUAUGAUUAGCAAGGUAAACCCCAUCCGGAGAAAGGUCAAAUAGGAAAGUUUUACCUCAUCGAGGUACGAUGUUGUUCGCAUCGGAUAACUUUCGGGUAGACUGAUUCAGUUUUGGUGUAAACCAAAUUCGAGAUAAAUAACUGCCAUCCCUUUGGGAUUACAGAAUUCGGCUUACAGACUUGCAUCAAGU